UAAAAGAGAUUGGUUAAAAAAAUGACUAAUCUCGUUGGUUGAGGCAAUAUUGGUCAAAUUAACUGUGACAUUGGUAACUAUUAAACAAACAAAUUGGUUAUCUAACAACUAAUAUCAUUGGUUAAGAACAAAUUGGUUGAUUUAACAAAGAUAUUGGUUAACUUUAAUAACAGAUUGGUUGAAAAAUGACUAAUAUCAUUGGUUAAGCAAAUGUUAACUAAGAGAUUGGUAACUGACGCAGGUCUGACGCUCAACGUCAAGUACGUAACUCUGCUUCUCAAUUUUCUGACAAAGCCGCCAUCUUGGUGCUGCAGGAAAGCCGUUUGAGAUAUUGGUGAAAUUCAAACACUUUGUGAGAUGACAGAAUAUUGCUGAAGGAUCCUACAUGGAAGCUGGCUGAUUACACGGAGUGAUUCCUCUGGUGUGGUGUACCUCAGAGAAAUAAACACUGUUGCAAGAGCUGAGAAGAUGGCCAAGAUAUCCUUAUUGCUGGAUGGUAGCUCUGGUCGUAGUGGACCAUAUCUGC